GUGAGGUUCAUCAGUGAGGGGGUGCAAACUCCUCAUCCCACCACCAGCCCCAGCUGGCAGCUCCUGCCCAUGCUGGGGAGGCAGGAGCCGACUGGCUGGCAGCCCCAUGUUGGGGGAGAUGGCUUUGCUGGCACUGAGCAUCUGUUUGAACCUAUUCCAGUCUUGCUGGGUCCUCCCAAGCACAUUUCCAAGCACUCUGGGUCCCCGCUGGCAUAUUUCUCUGUACAUUGCCCAGCUCAAUAAAUUGUGAAGGCACGUUUGCCCCAGCUCCACAGCUGGUCCGUCUGUCUGUCCGCCUGCCCGACUGAAGCUGGGGUGUGUGUCCCUGGUCAAGGGGAGACAGCAUCGGGUGGCGGCAAUGGUUGCAGUAGGUUUUGUUGUUGUUUCCCCAGAUCGCUGUGCAAUAUAUUCCGAUUUUUUUUCUUGUCAUUAAGCCAGUGCCUCAGAGAUGAUGAUGUAGUCCCUAUGUGGGCCGCAGAAAGCACUUCGAGCCGUGCUGGAGUCGUGCUGGGUGGCUCUGAUAGCAGAGCUAAUGGGAGCGAAUGGGAUGCAACGAACUGUUCUAAUGACACCAGCCAGGGAAGAGACAACACUUCCUAAUGACAGACACAGUCUCUGGGCAGUGAAUCAACAACCUCAGGUAGAGGUGAGCAAGUGCCAGAUGCUGUUAUUGAUGUUCCUGCUGACACCCUCCCUCCAGGCAUUGCAGCCCUGGGGGCUGGAAAACACAGGGCCAGGUUCCCUGGACAGGGGCCAGAGAAGAUGCUGGAUUGAGGCCUCCCAGCAGGAUUUCUACCUGCAACCACAGCUCUUGAGAAGAUCCACCCUUGUUUUCCAUAUGGGCUCUACAAAGAAGUGGUGGCAGUGAUGGAACACUGACGGCAUUGGAGAGCUGCUGAUUGUGCUGCCAACUACCAUCAGGGCUUGAAAGACAGAUCAAUUUCUUUAUCUGCUUUGCACAAGUGUGAGGACACCAAGGCAAGAGCCACUCACAAAUUGUUGUGAGUGGUCCAGCACAGGAAAA